rnacentral:misc_RNA from 1 species
ACAUUGAUGUUACAUCAUGGCCAGUUAUAGAAAAGAUUACAAAGCAAAUGCAAACCGAUGGGGUUUCUUGCGGUCUAUGGAUGGUGAACUAUAUGGAAUAUUGGACAGGGUCUUCUCUGUCUAAUAACAUAACUCAGAACGAUAUAACAAAGUUUAGAUUUAAGCUACCUGCAAUAUUGUGGAACUCAAGAUUAAACACAAAGAAAGGACAUCAAGAGACUAACCAUCAUGCAGAUGAAGAUGGAGGAAGUUCAUGUGAUGUUGAGAUAAUCAAGACUCCUUGUGAGUUACCUAUAUCGUUAAAUGCAUCAUCCCAGGUUCAACCAUUUAUAUCGUCAUGUGCUCUGCCCGCUACAUUAACAUCAACAAACACACAAGAACUGAUGAGUGCAUUAUGCACAUACAUCAUGGAGAUAGACGACGCCGAAUAUUUGGAGAAACAUUGGAUUCAGAGCACCAAGCCUUAUCCAAUUUCUUUAAGUCUUCAACAGCUUAAAAAUAUAUUGGAUGUAAAUAAACCGAUGGAUAAGGAUUGCUUCAACAUAGCUGUUCGGAUGAUCGCAUGCAGUGAUGCCUUGUUCUUGUUGGAAAACAAAUACCACUACAUGGAUCUACAGUUCUGUUCCAUAACUAAUUAUGGUCAAGACCCUCGCCUUCGUGCAAAGCUAGAUACCAAUGUAUUGGCGAAUUUAUUUGAAUGUUGGCCUGACAUGGAGUAUACUAUUUCAGAUUGCAGCCAAAUUCUAUUGCCCUUUUGUUUCUUGGGUCACUUCAGUUUAUAUGUAUUUAACAUGAACACCAGAAGCAUCUAUAUAAUGGACUCCAUGCCUCUACCAUCAUGGUUUAAGGGUAACGAUCCAAGCAUGCAUUAUAUUCACAAAAUACAUAAUAUUGCCAAUAAUAUGAAUGUUGCCAUGAAAUUGGCUAAUCCUACAUGGAAAGACGAUAUUUAUAUGUGGCGUCGUAUAGUACCAUCAUGGGUUCCAAAAACAUUAAACUGGGAUUUAUCAGGCUUUCUUGUUAUCAACUUUAUGCACUCGUGGAAUGGUAAAAGGUUACCCUGCAUUUCCACUACUUCAAGUGUACUGAGGACCAAAUUCUUGGUAGAGUUGAUGAAGUACCAGGACAA